rnacentral:rRNA from 1 species
UACGGAGGGUGCAGGCGUUAUCCGGAUUCACUGGGUUUAAAGGGUGCGUAGGUGGGCUGGUAAGUCAGUGGUGAAAUCUCCGGGCUUAACUCGGAAACUGCCGUUGAUACUAUCAGUCUUGAAUGUUGUGGAGGUAAGCGGAAUAUGUCAUGUAGCGGUGAAAUGCUUAGAUAUGACAUAGAACACCGAUAGCGAAGGCAGCUUGCUACACAAUAAUUGACACUGAGGCACGAAAGCGUGGGGAUCAAACAGG